AUUGAACGCUAGCGGUAUGCUUUACACAUGCAAGUCGAACGAGUUGCGGACUGGUGAGUAAUAUAUCGGAACGUGCCCAGUAGCGGGGGAUAACUACUCGAAAGAGUGGCUCAUACCGCAUACUAUUUGCACGUCCGAUAUCGGAUUAGCUCGUUGGUGGGGUAAAGGCUCACCAAGGCAACGCUCCGUAGCUGGUUUGAUAGGCCGAACAGCCACACUGGGACUGAGACACGGCCCAGACUCCUACGGGAGUCAGAAGUGGGGAAUUUUGGACAAUGGGGGAAACCCUGAGCCAGCCAUCCCGCGUGUAUGAGAAGGCCUUCGGGUUGUAAAGUACUUUUGGCAGAGAAGCGGUAUCUGCAGAAUAAGCACCGGCUAACUACGUGCCAGCAGCCGCGGUAAUUC
rnacentral:rRNA from 1 species